GAGGAAGUAAAAGUCGUAACAAGGUCUCCGUUGGUGAACCAGCGGAGGGAUCAUUACCGAGUUUUCAACUCCCAAACCCUUUUGUGAACAUACCUAUCGUUGCUUCGGCGGACUCGCCCCAGCGUCCGGCCGGCCCCGCGCCGGCCGCGGCCUGGAUCCAGGCGGCCGCCGGAGACCCCCAAACUCUGUAUUCUCAGUAUCUUCUGAAUCCGCCGCAAGGCAAAACAAAUGAAUCAAAACUUUCAACAACGGAUCUCUUGGUUCUGGCAUCGAUGAAGAACGCAGCGAAAUGCGAUAAGUAAUGUGAAUUGCAGAAUUCAGUGAAUCAUCGAAUCUUUGAACGCACAUUGCGCCCGCCAGCAUUCUGGCGGGCAUGCCUGUUCGAGCGUCAUUUCAACCCUCGACUUCCCUUUGGGGAAAUCGGCGUUGGGGACCGGCCGUAUACCGCCGGCCCCGAAAUGAAGUGGCGGCCCGUCCGCGGCGACCUCUGCGUAGUAAUCCAACUCGCACCGGAACCCCGACGUGGCCACGCCGUAAAACCCCCGACUUCUGAACGUUGACCUCGGAUCAGGUAGGAAUACCCGCUGAACUUAAGCAUAUC
rnacentral:rRNA from 1 species